rnacentral:rRNA from 1 species
UGAAUACGAGAUGCUACGGCGUCGAAGCAGUGUAUGUCAGACUUCCAAGAAAAGCUCGCAAUGUCAUAAAUAAAGAAUGCCUGUACCAUAACCGACACAGGUGGGUAGGUAGAGUAUACUAAGGGGCGCGAGAUAACUCUCUCUAAGGAACUCGGCAAAAUAACUCCGUAACUUCGGGAGAAGGAGUGCCUUCUUUAAGAAGGUUGCAAUAACAAGAUCCAAGCAACUGUUUAUCAAAAACACAGGUCUCCGCUAAGUCGUAAGACGAUGUAUGGGGGCUGACGCCUGCCCAGUGCCAGAAGGUUAAAGAAGCUGGUUAGCAAUAGCGAAGCUGGUGACUGAAGCCCUGGUGAACGGCGGCCGUAACGAUAACGGUCCUAAGGUAGCGAAAUUCCUUGUCGGGUAAGUUCCGACCCGCACGAAAGGCGUAAUGAUUUGGAUACUGUCUCGGAGAGGGACUCGGUGAAAUAGACUUGUCUGUGAAGAUGCGGACUACCUGCACCAGGACAGAAAGACCCUAUGAAGCUUUACUGUAACCUGAAAUUGAAAUUGGACUUUAUUUGCGCAGUAUAGGUGGGAGGCGUUGAAAGUAAUCUUGCGGGAUUAGUGGAGCCAUCAGUGAGAUACCACUCCUAUAAUGUUAGAUUUCUAACUUUGGAUCAUGAUCUGGUCAAAGAACAGUUUCAGGCGGGCAGUUUGACUGGGGCGGUCGCCUCCCAAAUGGUAACGGAGGCGUACAAAGGUUUCCUCUGAACGGGUAGAAAUCGUAUCUAGAGUGUAAAGGCAUAAGGAAGCUUGACUGUGAGACCUACAAGUCGAGCAGGGACGAAAGUCGGUCUUAGUGAUCUGACGGUGCUGAGUGGAAAGGCCGUCACUCAACGGAUAAAAGUUACUCUAGGAUAACAGGCUGAUCUCCCCCAAGAGUUCACAUCGACGGGGAGGUUUGGCACCUCGAUGUCGGCUCAUCGCAUCCUGGGGCGGUAGUACGUCCCAAGGGUUGGGCUGUUCGCCCAUGAAAGCGGUACGCGAGCUGGGUUCAGAACGUCGUGAGACAGUUCGGUCCAUAUCCGGUGUAGGCGUUAGAAUAUUGAGAGGAGCCUUCUCUAGUACGAGAGGACCGAGAAGGACAUACCUCUGGUGUACCAGUUAUCGUGCCAACGGUAAACGCUGGGUAGCUAUGUAUGGAGAGGAUAACCGCUGAAAGCAUCUAAGUGGGAAGCCCACCUCAAGAUGAGUAUUCUCAUC